CCAUUACCACUAGGAAUCGAC
rnacentral:siRNA from 1 species